UACAGAGGGUGCAAGCGUUAAUCGGAAUUAUCUGGGUCGUAAAGAGCUCGUAGGCGGUUCGUCACGUCGGCGUGUGAAAUCCCGAGGCUCAACCUCGGGUCUGCAGUCGAUACGGGCGGACUGGAGUACUGCAGGGGAGACUGGAAAUUCCUGGUGUAGCGGUGAAAUGCGCAGAUAUCAGAGGAACACCGGUGGCGAAGGCGGUCUCUGGGCAGUAACUGACGCUGAGGAGCGAAAGCGUGGGAGCGAACAGG
rnacentral:rRNA from 1 species